ACGCGGUAACGAACUCGCGUAUACGGGGGGAUAACACUUAGAAAUAGGUGCUAAUACCGCAUAAGCGCACAGCUUCGCAUGAAGCGGUGUGAAAAACUCUGGUGGUAUACGAUGGUUCCGCGUCUGAUUAGCUAGUUGGUGGGGUAAUGGCCUACCAAGGCAACGAUCAGUAGCCGGCCUGAGAGGGUGAACGGCCACAUUGGGACUGAGACACGGCCCAAACUCCUACGGAAGGCAGCAG
rnacentral:rRNA from 1 species